UGACAACUGUUGCAACGCACGAGGUCCUGGAGAGUUAUGUUGACAUUGACAGCAUGCUAGAGAUAUAAUUCACAGCCGUCAAAAAGAGAAGGCGAUCGUGAAGUGUAUAGGGCCCGGUUCCUAUAAGGGAACAAAAUCCACUUUAAAAUUAUUGGACCUACCAAACUAGUUGGCGACAUUCUCAAUAAACAGGAGCCCUACACUUCACGAUCGCCAAAGAGAAAACUGCUCUGGUGUUGACGCAUCGUCAGCUGAAAGGGUAGUGUCGCAAUUUUACACAAUUCUGGACUGAGGGUGUGAUGGAUGGUAGCCGCAACAGGGGGAGACAGCAGAAAAUGUGGGCAGCGCAGACGAGACAACAUCAAGAGUAGACUCCAGACCGAAACAACGCCACUACGUACGGCUGUAACGCUAUGGGACAGAAGGGAGGAAUGCUCUUGAUUCUAAAUGUUGCUGUGUUAGAGCUUGCUGGAUAUGGCAACAUUAGGAGGGAGUGGUCCAGUGGGCGGAGCUAGUGGUGGGGGCAUAAUGGAGGGUGGAAAUGGAGGAGGAGACGUGUGAGGCCAUAGCACAUCGUCUAACGACGGCAGUCUACAGCGCCGGGGUGGGGCUGACCUGUAGCACUAGCAGCGCCGGUGAA